AGCAGCCGCGGUAAUUCCAGCUCCAAUAGCGUAUAUUAAAGUUGUUGCAGUUAAAAAGCUCGUAGUUGAAUUUCGGGGUCAAUACGUCGGUCGUGCCUUCGGUACGUACUGGUGUUAUUGAUCUCUCCCUUCUGAUGAAUCAUGAUGUCAUUAAUUUGGUGUCGUGGGGAGUCAGGACUGUUACUUUGAAAAAAUUAGAGUGUUUAAAGCAGGCUCACGCUUGAAUACAUUAGCAUGGAAUAAUGAAAUAGGACGUUCGAUCCUAUUUUGUUGGUUUCUAGGAUCAACGUAAUGAUUAAUAGGGAUAGUUGGGGGCAUUAGUAUUCAAUUGUCAGAGGUGAAAUUCUUGGAUUUAUUGAAGACUAACUACUGCGAAAGCAUUUGCCAAGGAUGUUUUCAUUAAUCAAGAACGAAAGUUAGGGGAUCGAAGACGAUCAGAUACCGUCGUAGUCUUAACCAUAAACUAUGCCGACUAGGGAUCGGAUGAUGUUAAUUUUUAAUGACUCAUUC
rnacentral:rRNA from 1 species